rnacentral:rRNA from 1 species
GGGAGGUAGUGACAAUAAAUAACAAUACGGGGUUCUUUAGGAUCUCGUAAUUGGAAUGAGUACAAUUUAAAUCUCUUAACGAGGAACAAUUGGAGGGCAAGUCUGGUGCCAGCAGCCGCGGUAAUUCCAGCUCCAAUAGCGUAUAUUAAAGUUGUUGCAGUUAAAAAGCUCGUAGUUGAAUUUCGGGGUUAGUAGGUUGGUCAUGCCUCUGGUAUGUACUGGUCUCACUGAUUCCUCCUUCCUUAUGAACCGUAAUGCCAUUAAUUUGGUGUUGCGGGGAAUUUGGACUGUUACUUUGAAAAAUUAGAGUGUUUAAAGCAAGCUAACGCUUGAAUACAUUAGCAUGGAAUAAUGAAAUAGGACGUUCGAUCUUAUUUUGUUGGUUUCUAGGAUUGACGUAAUGAUUAAUAGGGAUAGUUGGG